CCUACGAGAGGCAGCAGUGAGGAAUAUUGGUCAAUGGGCGCGAGCCUGAACCAGCCAUGUAGCGUGAAGGAUGACUGCCCUACGGGUUGUAAACUUCUUUUAUAAAAGAAUAAAGUGAGACACGUGUGCCUUUUUGUAUGUACUUUAUGAAUAAGGAUCGGCUAACUCCGUGCCAGCAGCCGCGGUAAUACGGAGGAUCCAAGCGUUAUCCGGAUGUAUUGGGUUUAAAGGGAGCGUAGAUGGGUGGUUAAGUCAGUUGUGAAAGGUUGCGGCUCAACCGGAAAAUUGCAAUUGAUACUGGCAAUCUAGAGGACAGUUGAGGUAGGCGGAAUUCGUGGUGUAGCGGUGAAAUGCUUAGAUAUCACGAAGAACUCCGAUUGCGAAGGCAGCUUACUAAACUGCCACUGACAUUGAUGCUCGAAAGUGUGGGUAGCAAACAGGAUUAGAUACCCUAGUAGUC
rnacentral:rRNA from 1 species